UUUCUGUUCUAUUCCAUUGGUCUAUGUGUCUGUUUUUGUGCCAGCUUGUCUGUAUAUUUUUAAAAAUAGUUGUCGAGUACAUAUGAAAGUCACUAUGGUAUUUGUAUUUUAUUGCUUAGCUUUGAAAUAAUAACACUUAAGUGACAAUUUUGACAUCAGCUCAGAUCAUGAUCUCACAGUUGGUGGGUUCGAGCUCCGUGUCAGGCUCUGUGCCGACAGCUUGGAGCCUGGAGCCUGCUUCUGAUUCUGUGUCUCCCUCUCUUGGCCCCUCCCCUGCUCAUGCUGUCUCCCUCUCUCAAAAAUAAAUAAACAUUAAAAAAAAUUAAAAGAAAAGAAAAUAUUUUCCCUAAGGCUGAAGUUUGUCAUUUCACCCCCUUACAAAAUUUUUUGAAGAGCUAAAAUUGGUAUCAAACCUCAGAAUUCUUUGUCUUGCCUAGCUCUAGAUCCUGAAGGUAUUCUCUUAUGUUUUUUUUCUAGAAGUUUUAUAGUUUUAGAACUUACAUGUAAGUCUAUGAUAAAUUUUGAGUUCAUUUUUUAUGAGACGUGAGACUCUGGUUGAAGUUCUUUUUUUUUUUUUUUUAAUUUUAUUUAUUGUUGCCUAUGGAUGUCCAAUUACUUCACCAUGAUUUGUUGAAAAGGUUUCUCCUUUGGAUUGCUUUUGCAACCUUGUCAAAAUUGUCAGUCUUUUUCUGUACAUGGUAUGUAUUUUAUGUCCUGCUCAGACAGGUCGUCCCCAUUUCAAUAGUAAAAAUUAAUCUACAUUCUUCUCGAUGCUUUUACAUCUAAAUUUUUACUCUAUCUGAAGGUUAUUUUAGUUUGAUUUUUAAAAAAAACAUUUAUUGAUUUCGUUUGAGAGGGAGAGAGUGAGCUAGUGGGGGAGGGGCAGAGACAGAGAGGGAGACAGAGAACCCCAAGCAGGCUCGGCAGUUGUCAGCGCAGAGACCGACCCGGGGCUCGGUCCCGGCAACUGUGAUUAUCACUACCUGACCCGAAACCAAGAGUCGAUGCCUAACUGACUGAACCACUCAGGUGCCCCAAGGUUAUUAUUGUCUUUUGUAAGGAAGAGCUAAUGAUCCAGUUUUCUUUUAUUGCCCCAAAGGUUACCUAAUGUCCCACUAUCCUUGUACUCCCACUGAUUUGAAACCUCACUUUUAUCAUAAACUAAAUUCCUAAAAAUAUUUGUGGCUGUUCCUGGGCUCUUCAUUCAGUCCCAAUGGCUUGUCUGCUUGUUUCCUCUCUACUCCUAAACCGUUGAAUCUAUUUUAAUUGUUGUUAUUUGGAACCGGGUAGAGCCAGUUCCCUCUACUUCUCCUGUUUCUCUCCUGGAUAUUCUCACGUGUACUUUUCCUUAGGAAAUUCAUUGGCAGGUGUAGUUAACUAUCCCCCAGACAUUCCUUCCUUCCUUCCACAGUGUUGGGAUGAUGGGUAAGAAGCUGCUGGCCAGCCUCAGACUACAUUUCCCAGCAUGCCCCUCCCUCUAAGAUGUGGUCAUGUGACUAGGUCUCACCAAUGGGAUGCCAGGGGAAAUGAUAAGCGUCCUGCUGCCCCUGAUGGGGCUAAGAAGUGGGUCUCCUUCUCUACCUUUUCUGUUCUCCUUUUCUGACAACCUUGGGAGCCAAAAGUUUAUAAUUGUGGGGACGUGGGAUGGAAGCAGCUGGUCUCUGAAUCACUGCGUAGAUGGUCCCCUGCUGAACACUCAGGCGUGAGAACAAAAACAGCAAAAAACCCCACUACACAUUUGGUGUGUUUAGCCAGUGACAUGAAAAGUUUGUGUCACAGCAACUCCUGGUAUUUUAACGGCUUUAAUAUCACUUCAGCAAAUUCUCCAAAACUCCUCGUCUUACUUAGGGUGGCAUUGAAUUUAUAACUCAGAGAGACCUGGUAUCAUCACAAUCUGGAACAUGACAUCUUUCUGUAUAAUUAGGUCUUCUUUUGUGACCAUCAGUAGAAUUUAAAACAUCUUUCUUACCAUCCAAAGAUAGUGAUAAUUAAUAUAUGGGGCUAUAUUUCAGGAAUCUCUCCAUGCAGUCAUAUACGGUAUACAUAUUUACUUUUCCCUAAAUGGAAUCAUAUGACACAUGCUGUAAUUUUAUAAAUAUGCAUGUUUUUUUCAUGUUUAUUUUGAGAGAGAGAAUGAGCGGGAGAGGGGCAGAGAGAGAAGGGGAUGGUUUUUGAAGCAGGCUUUGCACUGACAGCAGAGAGCCCCUAAGCUGAAGUUGGAUGCUUAACUAACUGAGCCACCCAGGUGCCCCUAUAAAUUACAUUUUUAUUCCAAAAUUUGUACAACACUACAUAGAGAUCUACAUACAGAGGCUGGAAAAAUUGUUUUAAAAGGCCAGAUCAUUAAUAUUUUUGACUUUGUGGGUCCAGAGUGUAUUAUUACAGAGGUACUUAACCAUUUAAAAUGUAAAGACCUGCUUAGCUUUUAUUCAAUAAAAUAACAGGCAGCCAGCCAGAGCUGGCCCACAGGCCAUAGUUUGCCAAUCACUAGUACACAUCCUCAUUUAAAAAACUACUUACUUAAGUAGUCUUAUGUUAAUGUACAUUGAUGUGGCCUUCCAUAUCAAUUUGCUAUUGUAAAUACUGUGGCAACAUUGUGUGUAAACCCCUUCACACUAAUGUAUUUACCCCCAAAGGGUAAAUUCCUGCAAAUAGAAUUGAUAGGUCAGAACAUAUGAUAUUUUACUCUGUGAUACAUACCAUCAAAAUAUUCUCAUUUAUGUUUACAGUCUCAUCAGUUAUGUGCAAGACCUCCUGUUUCACCACAUACUUAUCAACACUGGAUAUUAUCAAACUUUUGAUUUUUUCGGUCCAAUAAGUGGGAAAAAAUGAUGUCUCACUGAUGUUCUUACACUUACUAUGGCUAUCUUUUUGCAUAUUAUUGUGAAUUUAUUAUUUAUGAAUUCCCUCUUUGUGCAUUUUGCCCAUUUAUCUCUGUGAUUUUUUCACAUUGAUUUGUAACAAUUCUUUGCAUAAUAGAGAUAGUAACACUUCAUCAUUUGUGGGCAAUAUUUUUCCCCCCAGUUUUUCAUUUAUCUUAUUUCUGGUAAUCUUUUUUCCUUUCCAUUUUAUAAGUUUUAUAUUUUAUCUGGUUCAGGUCAUUAGAAACUUUUACUAUGUAAUAAGUGUCUUGUAUGCAUUACCAAGCCUCUCCCCUUUUAUGACUACAAAAGCAUUCGCCUGUGUUUUGUUUUAGUGCUUUUAUGGUCUGUCUUUUACAUUUUAACCUUUGGUUUAUUCAGAAUUUAUUUUGAAGAUUCACCCUUAUUUGUUUGUGUGUUUUUUUUUUUUUAAAUAAGGCUAGCCAGUUUUCCUAACAUUUUUUUUAAUGUUUAUUUAUUUUUGAGAGAGAGAGACAGAAUGUGAGCAGGGGAGGUUCAGAGAGAGAGGGAGACACAGAAUCCGAAGCAGGCUCCAGGCUCCGAGCCAUCAGCACAGAGCCCGACGCGGGGCUCGAACUCACAAACAGUGAGAUCAUGACCUGAGCCGAAGUCAAGACGCCCAACUGACUGAACCACCCAGGCGCCCCUGUUUGGACAUUUUUAAUCCACGAUUUUGAACCCCGUUAUAAAUUUCCAUGCAUUUAGCCUAAAAAAUGUCAUUGAAAAAACUCACCAGAUAUCAAGGAACUGAGUAUUUUGAUUCUAGCAAGUUAUUCACUUCUGGCUUUAAAUGAAGAAUUUCUUGAAAAAUGAGGUAUGCCUUAUCUUUGACUGGAAGCUUUUUUACCUGAUGGCAAUUUGUGUAUCAAAGAUAAAAGUCUUAUUAUUCAGGUGGAUAGGGUUGUUUGUAUGUCCCCUGAGUGGACAGAUACAAUUAUUUAGAAUUGAGAAAUACAGCUAUACUGUUGCUGUGCAGCUAUACUUUGCGUGUAUGUGUGACCACGAUUACAGACACGAACAAGUUUGCACAAUGGGUCGCCAAACCUAAAUGUGGGGUGUCCCGAUCGGAACGGGGCAGGGGCACCAAAUGUAGGGUGCUCUGAUUGGGUGGCAGCCGGUGGUGCGGGAGGUGAAAGAAUUCACCCAGAGCAGAACAGAAGAGAUCAGAGUUUAUGGAAUAUACUGCAGGGGGGCAGCGGGCAGGACAGCAAAGGAGAGACUGCCUUAUACAGGGGUGUUGAGGGGUCACAGCUAUAGGGCGGAGUGAGGGAGCCUGGGGACGGAUGGAAUUUUCUGUUUUUUGGGAACUUAGGCACUGUGCCCGGUUGUGACUGGUCAGUGAGGGCCUCUGGCUCUUUUGGGGUGGGUCGCCUAAAGAGCCUGUUUGCAUUCAGCUCGGUGGCUUUGGGCCCUUUGGUUUUGCUCUAUGCUAAAGAGUUAAUGAUCCUAAGAUGACGUUUCACCAAAUUUAAAGAAUAGAAAAGGCACCAGUUUGGGUGCAGCCUUGCAUCCAAAUUCCAGCUCCAGAGUUCACAAGUCUGUGGUCCUGAGCGCGGCCCUUCCCAUGUCUGGGCCUCCGCUCUCUCAUCUGUAAAAUGGGUUAAUAAGUAUAACACCGAUCUCACACUGCUGUUGGCAGGACUGGAGGAAAGCUGUAAUCUGCUGUGGCCGGGGUUAGCCGCUGACACCCCAGUGCCCUCACGCCUGUGGUCUUAAGGGAAAGAAACCCAGCUCCAACUGGCUGAAGAAGGACAAAGACCUGACCGGGGAAAAUCCAGCCUGGCUGGCUCGGGGCCCGGUGGGCAGACAAAAUAUCGAGCUCAUCCACCUUGUGCUCCGUUUGCUUUCUUUUCCUCGUUAAUUACCACGAGAUGUGUGUACUUUGGGGCACUGCACAACUUCCCAGACCUCGGAGUCAGGUUGGAGACCCUAUUCCCUACAUUUCCUCUUCCACGUUGAUUUUUAUGCAGUACUUUUUAUUAUGGCAACUCCCAUAAAGCCAGCUUUGCAAAGAUAUGAUGUUAUUGGAGAGAAUGUAGGGCCAUUUGAUAUUACAGCCUUGAACAACCUUGAGCUAGUAAUUCACAUGGUGUUUGACAGAUAUCGAGAAUCACUAUAUUUCCCUUGAAGUUUUAUAAUCCCCCAAAGCCCCUGUGAGUUCAGCGUGGCUCUCUGGGGUGCCCUGGUACACAAUCCGAGAAGAUCAGGUUAAUUUAACAAGGAAGUCAGAUCUUGGGGUUAGUCUGGUGGCUUGGUGAUAUCAUCAAAGAUCCACCCUUCUGACAAGUUGGACCUCUUGGUCUCAAGACAGCUGCCAUGGCACCAACAUCACAUUCUUGCCCCACAGUGCAGCUAUCAAAGUGAGAAAGGAAGGAAGAGCAGUGUGACAGGAUGACAUAGAACUGCUUUUAUACUCCAUCUGGACCUGGUAGUGGAGGGCAGACAGGUGUCUACAGCUGCAGAGACAUCUUGAACUAAACAAGGAUCUAAACAGAGAUAAAAAUCAGAGGCCUCAGUCAUGUCAACCAGACCUGGGAUUGGAAGACUGAGAAGUUUGCCAAGCUAAGCAAGUUCUCAAGGAGACACUAUCUCACUAGCCCACCGGUUAUCCUAGUCGUUUGCGGGGGGACCAGUGUGUUGCUUAUGGAGACGGCAGUCCACACGAGAAAUCUUGAGUUGUGGAAAUAUGUUGUGCCUGAAUGACAUUCAGGUUUUCUUUGGAGAGCCACUGUUUUUGGAGCUACCAAGACAGUCCCUGGAUCUAGCGAGGGAGGCUGUGUCUGGAGAGGUGACAUCUAGUUGACCAGGGGUCAUGGGAGAGACACCCGUUCUGAGAUUUCAAUGUGCAGUGCAGGUUGGCCCAGGGGGCAAAACAGGACUUCAAACAGAGGGAACAGCGCUGGCAGGGAGGGGAGUGGGCACAUGGCUCAUCAGACUGUUUAGGGUUUGUGUGACCAGAGGUGAGUCAGUGUAGGACUCACAGCCUGUGUGGCCGGCUCUGGGAGUUUGGUUUUGCCCUGAAAGCCAUAGGAAGGGCUGAAAGGUUUUAACGCAGGGAAGGAUGUGAUGAGGUUGAUAGUCUGGGGAACAACAGCAUCUGUCAUGUGGCAGAAAUUUCUGGUGCUCACAAAAAGCCUUUCUUUUUCCUCCUGGGCACGUGGUUAGACUACAUUUCCCAGACUCCUUUGUGGUCAGGUGAAGCCAUAUGAUGGACUUCUGGUCAACCAAACAUGGAGGAAAGGGAUAUUUGCCAUUUUAGGCCUAGCCCGUAAAAACGUCCCCACGUCCUCUCUCCCCCAUCUGCUGGCUGGUGCAGAAGAUCUGGGGACCUAGAUCGUGGGUCUCCAAGAUGGAAAUGGCUUGGAUCCCUGAGUCACCAUGUCAUAAAGGGCUUGCUAUUGUGUCAACAGUGAAUCGAUUUUUAUUAUGUUAACCCAGCUAAAUGUUGGGUUCUUUUUUACAUGGGUUAGCCUACUCUGACGAAAACCACAACAAUAGGUGCUCUUGAUGGGGCCUGCUCUGAAUCUGGCACUGUCUCAUUUAAUCCGCACGACAGCCUUAUGGGGAUGGGGGACGCCGUCUUCCCACCUCUCCAAAAGAAAACACUGGGGCUGAGGGAGAAGCCAGCAGGCGAUGGUGGAGAAGCCUGAUCUCCACCUGCACCCAAGGGGUGAACCGUGCCCUGCUGGCUCCCAGUACAAGAGGAACAGAUUAAAAUUGGGUGAGGCAAGGGGACCAGAUGAGGAGCUAUAGUGACCCCAGCUGGGAGUUCCUGCCUGUGACGCGGGGAAGGUAUCAGAUGAUUGUAAAUCUUAACCAAGAGAAUGCACGUGAGGUGUCCAGUGCAGGGCCUAGAACCUGGCAGGUGUAUCCUGAACGUUUGAUUUUUUUUUUUUUUUUUUCAAGACACUAAGCAAGAACUCAUGGAGGCCUGGGUGAAACCAGGAGAGACAUGUUCUGGAAGCAGAUCUUGGCAGGACUUGGGCAAAGCGUGAAGGAGAUGGGGAAGCACAAGGUUGGACAACUGCCUCGUGUUGCCAUUUGCAGGGACACGGGAGGAAGGGUGUGAGACAUCUUGUACAGCGUGAGGUGGGUACAGAGGAGGGAGAGCACAGGGCUCAAGAUAAUCAACGCUAAACCUUCCGAGAUGUGCAGAUAUUCAAAAGAGGGGCUGCGUUCCUGAGCCUCCAGCUGAAAAGAGCUUUUAGCAAACCAUCAGACCCUGGAUGGAUUCGCUCUGUCCUGGAGUGGAUACUUUUUAUCUACACAACCUUGGGCAAGUUCCGCAACUCUUUGUGCCUUGGUUUAUCUUUGUGCCCUGAAGAUAGGGAUAAGAGAUCAUGGGGUUGUUGUGAAUAUAUGCAGUGUGCUCAGCACAGUGUUAGAUAUGCAGUAGUAGUAAAUGGGAGACGUCUUCACUACAUUCUCUUCUCCCUAACGUUAUUUCUCUAUGGAUCUCUAUCAGUACAGAAAAAUACUCAGGUAACAGAUAUGAGCACUGAAAGAAUCUUUGCCCAUCUUAUUCACUGCUACAUUUCCAAUUAGCUCUUAGAACUAGUCCAUGGCAGGUGCUUAAAUAUUUGUUGAAUGGAUGAAUAAAGGAAUGCAUCUCUCUCCUCUUUUUUUCUUCCUCCGUCCCUCCCUUCCUUUCUUCCCUCCCUCCUUUCUUCCUUCCCUCUUUCCAUCCAUCCAUCCAUCCAUCCACCCGUCCAUCCA